rnacentral:rRNA from 1 species
CACCGCGGUUAUACGAGAGGCCCAAGUUGACAGACAUCGGCGUAAAGAGUGGUUAAGGAAAGACAACAACUAAAGCCGAACGCCCUCAAGACUGUUAUACGUUUCCGAAAGGUUGAAGCCCAACUACGAAAGUGGCUUUAUCUCACCUGACCCCACGAAAGCUGCGAAA